AUUGAACGCUGGCGGCAGGCCUAACACAUGCAAGUCGAACGAGUGGCGUACGGGUGAGAAAUGUCUGGGAAACUGCCCGAUGGAUGGGGAUAACUCCUGGAAACGGUAGCUAAUACCGCAUACCAUCGGAUGUUCCCAGAUUGGAUUAGCUAGUAGGUAGGGUAAAGGCUCACCUCGGCGACGAUCCCUAGCUGGUCUGAGAGGAUGACCAGCCACACUGGAACUGAGACACGGUCCAGACUCCUACGGGAGGCAGCAGUGGGGAAUAUUGCACAAUGGGCGCAAGCCUGAGACAGCCAUGCCGCGUGUAUGAAGAAGGCCUUCGGGUUGUAAAGUACUGUCAGCGGGGAGGCGUUACCCGCAGAAGAAGCACCGGCUAACUACGUGCCAGCAGCCGCGGUAAUUC
rnacentral:rRNA from 1 species